rnacentral:lncRNA from 1 species
UUGCACUUGUAAAUGAUAUCUAAGUUCUCUCUGACCCUAGCUUCCUCUAGGCGUUGGUGGUCAUUUUCAUUAUAAUCAUGGCCAUAAUUUUAAUUUUUUUGCAGGUUCUAGGUGCCCACUGUUGGAAGGAGCUUUGGAAAUACAAGCUGAAUCAAUGCACCCCGGUGUUAAGGAUGAAGAGUGAGUUCAUGCUUGCAUCUCCUUUAUAGCCAACAGCUUGAACCACAAGACAGAAUGAAUUAAAAAUCCAAUACCUCCAAAGAAAGCCUACCUCAUAAAUUGCACUCAAGGCAUUUUGGAAGCCUCUGGAUCUAAGGCGGUUUAUAAGGACCUUCUGUCAAGUGGACCACCCUGCAUGCACACACAUGUCUAUGUGUGAAGUAGAAAAGGAGCAACAACCUUGCCAUGGAUAUCUGAAGGAAGCACCUGCUACAAAGAUGGGACAGUCAGAAUUUGUAAAGACAACAGGAGUUUUAUGUGGUAAUAGCAAGAGAUGGGAUUAACCUAUCAAGUGAUCUCUGAUUUUACAGUGCAUGCAGUACAUAUCUUCCUUCUAAUACUAGAUAUUGCUACAUUUUAAAUUCAUGUCCUUUGAUUUUUUUUUAAACUGGGGCUUUUAGUCAGGAAUAGAAAGAAGACUUUUCUCAUUUAUGCUCCAAGGACCAAUAGUGUACACUGUGUGCUGUGUACACUGUGUGCUGUAUACACUGAUGUGUAUUGAAGUGCUACCAAUUCAAAGUACUCUG